GGAAGUAACGUAACAAGGUUUCCGUAGGUGAACCUGCGGAAGGAUCAUUAUUGUAUAACCGAGGUGCGAGGGCUGUCGCUGACCCGAAAGGUCGUGCACGCCCGAGUGCCCUCACACACAUCAAUCUCACCCCUAUGUGCACCACCGCGUGGGUCCCCCUUUGGCUUGUUCGGAGGGGGGCUUACGUUUUCACACAAACUUUGUAUGCAGUGUAGAAUGUAUUUUUUGUUUUUGCGAUCACGCAAUCAAUACAACUUUCAACAACGGAUCUCUUGGCUCUC
rnacentral:misc_RNA from 1 species